rnacentral:lncRNA from 1 species
CCAAGCCAGGAACAACCUUUGAGGGGAAACUGCUGCUCCAAACUCCAACCUGUUUCCCUUUACUACUGACACAGAACUCGCAAAACCUCUCCCAGCAAACACCUUUUUGACUAGAAAACCCUAAUUCAGAUAAUUUGUUAGCCUCCUCUAGAGAGGGCCAAUCCGAAGGAGAGGUCACAGGAGACCAGUGAUAAGACCGCACCGAAGAAGGGUGAUCAUGAAUUGCAGAAGGCACAGGAUAGGGUUGGG